AAGGUCUUUUCCUGCCAUUGGAUGUUGAUGAAGAGUUGAGCAUAAGAGUACGGUUUGCAUGGUGCCCCCUAUUUAAUCAAGGCUUCUAUAUGUUGUACCUUGGAAGGCAGGGUGAAGAACACUUUUUUCUGACGAACAGCUGCAAAGAAGGGCACUGUGAUGAUACUGGAGUAAACCAGUUUCUUGCAGGCUCCAUCCAACAGGCAGCAAAUCCAUACUCGACAAAUUUUCCGCCUCACAAGAUUUCUCAUUAAAAUCCACAUUUCGAAUAAGAGGAGAAGGGUAGCUUUAUUUAAACCAUCCCCGUCAUCUCAGGACAUAUCUGGAGAGCUUCUUUGUGGAUUCUCAUUCACACAAAGAAGUGCAUUAAACAAGCAAGAGAGAUCAAUUCUUGAUAAAGCUCCGUUUUGAUUUUGAAACUGCACGUUCUCAUCUGAUGAAUCAUUAUCUUGUAUUAUCUCUGGAUACCUGAUUGAGUGAAUUUCUUCAUGAGGAGCAGUGUAUUGUAACUCAGGCUGUCAUGGAACAUCAGGCUAAUGUUAGCGCAUCUGUUUCUGUGAUUUAUGUAACACAGGGGAGGAAUAAAGGUAGAGACAUGUGUUUUAUCCAGUGCUUUAGUUGUAAAGCUUUUGGUCAUAUUGUUCCAAGAAGUUCUGUAACUACUACAAGAAACAGAGUUAUAUCAUCUCUGUUUGUCCCAUUCAACCUGAAUGUAAGCAGGGUAACAUUUAAUGCAAUGAUUUUAUAGAUCGUUUAUAUGGAAAGUAAAUCGAUUAUAUAA